ensembl:lncRNA
ACCAGCUUAACCUUGGAUCUACAAUAUAGUCAACAUCUGGCUGAAACAACACUUCGGUGGAACAUCUGGAUACUUACUCUGCACAGUGUGAAACAGCAGGACCUUUGGCAGCGUCUGUGUGAGUAACCCAUGUGGGGUCGCCUCUGUGUGUUUAACAUCACAUUUGGGCUUUCCUCUGCCUGUAACAGAAAACCAGACUCAAACUGGGUUUAAAAGUUUUAAAGGGAAAUUCUUAGCUCCCUGGGCUAAAAAGUCUAGAGAAGAGGCUGGCUUUAGGUAGGUGUUAAUCUAGCAAUGAACAAUAUUACCAAGGACCCAGUUUCUCUGUAUCCUGCUAACAGCUUUAUCCCCAAACUGACUCCCCUCAGAGGACUCCCAAAGGCUAUCAGAAGUCCCCCUGCAUUUACCUCGUUCAAUCACAAGCAUGGAAUUGUAUCUGUCUCAGUAUCCCUAGCAAAAGGCUUGACAUCUACUCUGAUUGGACAGAAUGGGGUCAUGUACUACAACUGAUCCCUUCACUAUGACCUAAGGGUACUGGAAUGGGCUGAUGUACUUAGUCACAUGCUCCACUUUGGAGCUGGAGAAGGAGCAAGCUUCUUUGGAACCCCAAGGACCUCCAAGUACAGGCUGGAAAAUGUUAGGUGGGUAAAAGGAGCAUGAAACUUCACGUCCUGCUAGAUAUAGUGACUCAGCUGCAAACAGUCUGCCUGCUAAUGCAGGAGAUGAGGGCAAGAAUACUGGAGUGGGUUGCCAUACCCUUCCCCAGGGGAUAUUCCCGACCCAGGGAUUGAACCUGUGUCUCUUGCAUCAGCAGGCAGAUUCUUUAUUGCUGAGCCACCUGGGAAGCCCCACAAACCCACUGGCCCCUUGCAAAGUGGCAGAUGGUGACAGCAGGGAGCCAAGAGCCCAGAUGGCUCUCUUGCUGCCCAGUUCCUGUGAACACCAUCCUGUCCUGAGGGUCAUGACCAGCCGGGGGCUUGUUCCCACUCCGAGGUGUCUCCC